UUCAGUGAUCGAAUCCCUACACCUACAGGCAAUGAUUCAAAUUUGUUGCCCUGUAUUUCCUUGAAAUUUGAGUUAGGAAAUGACUGUUGAAUUGUAGCAGGUCAUCAUGGCAGCAUUGCAAUAGGCGAAGAGACGAGAAACCAAGGAGAACCAAGCACUGAAGAUAAAAAGGAGGUUUAAGGCAAAGGGGAAGAGGGUUUUGGGGUUGUCUUGUUUAUAGAGGACUUAUUUGAGGUAUCAGAUUCUUGAUCUGAUGUAGACAUGGCCAAGCUUCUCAUGUGAUUUUAGACUAUGCUUAUUAAUUUUAACUUCAAAAAUU
rnacentral:misc_RNA from 1 species